rnacentral:rRNA from 1 species
UACGUAGGGGGCAAACGUUGCUCGGAAUUACUGGGCGUAAAGGGUGUGUAGGUGGCUGAGCAAGUCACUGAUGAAAUCCCGAGGCUCAACCUCGGAAUUGUCAUUGAAACUGCUUAGCUUGAGGAUAGUAGAGGAAAGCGGAAUUCCCGGUGGAGCGGUGAAAUGCGUAGAUAUCGGGAGGAACACCAGAGGCGAAGGCGGUUUUCUAAGCUAUUCCUGACACUGAGACACGAAAGCUAGGGGAGCAAACGGGAUUAGAUACCCGCGUA